rnacentral:rRNA from 1 species
GGUAUUGCGCAGCUACACAUGCAGUCGAACGGUAGCACAGAGAGCUUGCUCUCGGGUGACGAGUGGCGGACGGGUGAGUAAUGUCUGGGAAACUGCCUGAUGGAGGGGGAUAACUACUGGAAACGGUAGCUAAUACCGCAUAACGUCGCAAGACCAAAGAGGGGGACCUUCGGGCCUCUUGCCAUCAGAUGUGCCCAGAUGGGAUUAGCUAGUAGGUGGGGUAACGGCUCACCUAGGCGACGAUCCCUAGCUGGUCUGAGAGGAUGACCAGCCACACUGGAACUGAGACACGGUCCAGACUCCUACGGGAGGCAGCAGUGGGGAAUAUUGCACAAUGGGCGCAAGCCUGAUGCAGCCAUGCCGCGUGUAUGAAGAAGGCCUUCGGGUUGUAAAGUACUUUCAGCGGGGAGGAAGGUGUUGUGGUUAAUAACCGCAGCAAUUGACGUUACCCGCAGAAGAAGCACCGGCUAACUCCGUGCCAGCAGCCGCGGUAAUACGGAGGGUGCAAGCGUUAAUCGGAAUUACUGGGCGUAAAGCGCACGCAGGCGGUCUGUCAAGUCGGAUGUGAAAUCCCCGGGCUCAACCUGGGAACUGCAUUCGAAACUGGCAGGCUGGAGUCUUGUAGAGGGGGGUAUAAUUCCCGGUGUAGCGGUGAAAUGCGUAAAAAAUCUGGGAGGAAUACUGGUUGGCGAAGGCGGCC